UUGAAGACGGGGAAGGUUAUAAACUCUCAUAUGGAGCAGUCGAGUUCAGGUACGUAUGUUCUCUUCAACCAUAAAUAAAAUCCGUAUGAAAUAAUUUCUUUAUGUUUGCAAAAUUAUAGUUUUUUGAGAAGGAAAAAAAAAAGAAAAAAGGGGGGUGAAAUCUGUCAAGACAGCCGUGUGACCACCCCAACCAGACUGGCUGAGAACGAUCAUCUACAGUCAACUCAUGAUGAUUCCCGUGGGUCUCACCACAGAACCGUUAAUCACGCUCUGAUCACACGGUCACAAAUCCUCAUCCAGAUUUAUGUUCCUGUCUCCUUAGAAAUCAAGGACACAGUAGUACGAUCCUAUAGAACAGAUCCUGUUCAAGUAAGGUCGUGACCAAAGCUCUCCGCGUGCUGUAUAUAAACAUUUAGCAUAAUCCUGAACCAAAAGAUGUGGGACUAUAUUUCAUGUUUGUAGUAUUAGUUUAAAAAAUGAGGUUUCUGUCUUUUGUUGUCACGCCUUGUUACUAUCAAUGCUCAUCAAUUUAGUAUAAAGUUUGAUGAAUUUUUCUAUACUCAAUGUUGCUAUACUAUAUCUGUUUCUGAAAUUCUUAAAAUAUUUUAGAACUGACUCCAAAGUGUGUGGUAAAAUGGUGCUAUUAGUGUUAGCUUCUGUAAACUUGGAAAACUAGAGUAUAAAAUAGAAAUUUCAAGCUUGUUUUUCUAGCUCUAACAAUAAGUUUUAUCUCAUUUCAAAGCUUAAUGGUUCAAGAGAAAGUGCAUUCUAAGCAAUGCAAUGAAAUAAAAAGAAUCUGCAAACAUUAUGUAACCUAUUUUGUUGAUAGUUUUGUACUAUAGGUGAUGAACUUAGGUUCCUGUCUCCCUAGAAACCGAUCCUGUUCAAGCAAGGUUCCUGUCUCCCUAGUAUGUCACGCAAGCUAAUAUUUUUGUAUAAUCUUGGACAGAAUCUGGUUUCCGAUGAACUCCUAUAUCUUCUCUUGCAAGGAUGUUGGUACACCUUUACUAUCAUAGCUCAAACAACUUGUAUGAUGCUGAGGUUAAGUUUGAUUGAACCAGAAAUCAAUCAUGUUAUGGAGGAGCCAGAACAACAAUUUCAUUGCGAUUAGAUGGGAAAAAAUGCGAGAGAAAUUUAUUGCAGAGUUUUGAUGGGGCGGUGGUAGGAGAGUCAAGACCAGCAGGUUGUGGAGGAGCUAUACGAAACUAUAAUGGUGGUUUCCCUGCUGCAUUCUCAGCUAAAGGGAUACAGUGAACAUAAUCUGCAAACAUUAUGUUUCUUAUUUUAUUGAUAGUUUUGUAUUAUAGGUGAUGAACUUAGGCUCCAGUCUCCCUAGAAACCAAUCAUAUUCAAGUAAGGUCGUAUCCGAUGUCCUCUCUGGUAUAUAAAUUUUUGUUAAAUCUUAAACUCUCAAUGCAGGACUGACUCGGUUGAUGUCUACACUGGUUCUAUAGAUGAAGUAAUAACUUUCUUGUCGCAGGCCAGUCAUAGUUUGGCAAAAUGUCGUUAACUCACAACAUCUCCAAACUUGGGAAGCAAAGGAUGAAUCAUAAAUUUCCCUGCUUUUAUUGGAUAGUCUUAACAUAAUUCUAGAUGUAGAAUUUGAUAUAUGUGAAAGUAACAAGCUGGGAUAUGGCUCAUUAGCAAUUACUUAUCUGUAUUGUGAGAAUUUCAAUUUUCGCCCCGACUACUACAUGGUCAUCCAUGUGUUUGAUCAACCUCAAAGUGAAAUGAUAUUUUUUCUGCAGCUUUGCAAUAUUUUGCAUCAGAUACUCUCCAAGUUCAAAAAGAGGCAAAUGGACAUUGGACAGGAAUCAGCAGUUUUUGUAAAGUAAUUUUUUUCUAUUGACUUUGAUAAGCAAUUGAAAUAUAUUCUCUAACA